rnacentral:rRNA from 1 species
AGGGCGCACGGUGGAUGCCUUGGCACUAGAAGCCGAUGAAGGACGUUACUAACGACGAUAUGCUUUGGGGAGCUGUAAGUAAGCUUUGAUCCAGAGAUUUCCGAAUGGGGAAACCCAGCAUGAGUUAUGUCAUGUUAUCGAUAUGUGAAUACAUAGCAUAUCAGAAGGCACACCCGGAGAACUGAAACAUCUUAGUACCCGGAGGAAGAGAAAGAAAAUUCGAUUCCCUUAGUAGCGGCGAGCGAAACGGGAAGAGCCCAAACCAACAAGCUUGCUUGUUGGGGUUGUAGGACACUCUAUACGGAGUUACAAAGGACGACAUUAGACGAAUCAUCUGGAAAGAUGAAUCAAAGAAGGUAAUAAUCCUGUAGUCGAAAAUGUUGUCUCUCUUGAGUGGAUCCUGAGUACGACGGAGCACGUGAAAUUCCGUCGGAAUCUGGGAGGACCAUCUCCUAAGGCUAAAUACUCUCUAGUGACCGAUAGUGAACCAGUACCGUGAGGGAAAGGUGAAAAGCACCCCGGAAGGGGAGUGAAAUAGAACCUGAAACCGUGUGCUUACAAGUAGUCAGAGCCCGUUAAUGGGUGAUGGCGUGCCUUUUGUAGAAUGAACCGGCGAGUUACGAUUUGAUGCAAGGUUAAGCAGUAAAUGUGGAGCCGUAGCGAAAGCGAGUCUGAAUAGGGCGUUUAGUAUUUGGUCGUAGACCCGAAACCAGGUGAUCUACCCUUGGUCAGGUUGAAGUUCAGGUAACACUGAAUGGAGGACCGAACCGACUUACGUUGAAAAGUGAGCGGAUGAACUGAGGGUAGCGGAGAAAUUCCAAUCGAACCUGGAGAUAGCUGGUUCUCUCCGAAAUAGCUUUAGGGCUAGCCUCAAGUGAUGAUUAUUGGAGGUAGAGCACUGUUUGGACGAGGGGCCCCUCUCGGGUUACCGAAUUCAGACAAACUCCGAAUGCCAAUUAAUUUAACUUGGGAGUCAGAACAUGGGUGAUAAGGUCCGUGUUCGAAAGGGAAACAGCCCAGACCACCAGCUAAGGUCCCAAAAUAUAUGUUAAGUGGAAAAGGAUGUGGCGUUGCCCAGACAACUAGGAUGUUGGCUUAGAAGCAGCCAUCAUUUAAAGAGUGCGUAAUAGCUCACUAGUCGAGUGACACUGCGCCGAAAAUGUACCGGGGCUAAACAUAUUACCGAAGCUGUGGAUUGUCCUUUGGACAAUGGUAGGAGAGCGUUCUAAGGGCGUUGAAGCAUGAUCGUAAGGACAUGUGGAGCGCUUAGAAGUGAGAAUGCCGGUGUGAGUAGCGAAAGACGGGUGAGAAUCCCGUCCACCGAUUGACUAAGGUUUCCAGAGGAAGGCUCGUCCGCUCUGGGUUAGUCGGGUCCUAAGCUGAGGCCGACAGGCGUAGGCGAUGGAUAACAGGUUGAUAUUCCUGUACCACCUAUAAUCGUUUUAAUCGAUGGGGGGACGCAGUAGGAUAGGCGAAGCGUGCGAUUGGAUUGCACGUCUAAGCAGUAAGGCUGAGUAUUAGGCAAAUCCGGUACUCGUUAAGGCUGAGCUGUGAUGGGGAGAAGACAUUGUGUCUUCGAGUCGUUGAUUUCACACUGCCGAGAAAAGCCUCUAGAUAGAAAAUAGGUGCCCGUACCGCAAACCGACACAGGUAGUCAAGAUGAGAAUUCUAAGGUGAGCGAGCGAACUCUCGUUAAGGAACUCGGCAAAAUGACCCCGUAACUUCGGGAGAAGGGGUGCUCUUUAGGGUUAACGCCCAGAAGAGCCGCAGUGAAUAGGCCCAAGCGACUGUUUAUCAAAAACACAGGUCUCUGCUAAACCGUAAGGUGAUGUAUAGGGGCUGACGCCUGCCCGGUGCUGGAAGGUUAAGAGGAGUGGUUAGCUUCUGCGAAGCUACGAAUCGAAGCCCCAGUAAACGGCGGCCGUAACUAUAACGGUCCUAAGGUAGCGAAAUUCCUUGUCGGGUAAGUUCCGACCCGCACGAAAGGCGUAACGAUUUGGGCACUGUCUCAACGAGAGACUCGGUGAAAUCAUAGUACCUGUGAAGAUGCAGGUUACCCGCGACAGGACGGAAAGACCCCGUGGAGCUUUACUGUAGCCUGAUAUUGAAAUUCGGCACAGCUUGUACAGGAUAGGUAGGAGCCUUUGAAACGUGAGCGCUAGCUUACGUGGAGGCGCUGGUGGGAUACUACCCUAGCUGUGUUGGCUUUCUAACCCGCACCACUUAUCGUGGUGGGAGACAGUGUCAGGCGGGCAGUUUGACUGGGGCGGUCGCCUCCUAAAAGGUAACGGAGGCGCUCAAAGGUUCCCUCAGAAUGGUUGGAAAUCAUUCAUAGAGUGUAAAGGCAUAAGGGAGCUUGACUGCGAGACCUACAAGUCGAGCAGGGUCGAAAGACGGACUUAGUGAUCCGGUGGUUCCGCAUGGAAGGGCCAUCGCUCAACGGAUAAAAGCUACCCCGGGGAUAACAGGCUUAUCUCCCCCAAGAGUUCACAUCGACGGGGAGGUUUGGCACCUCGAUGUCGGCUCAUCGCAUCCUGGGGCUGUAGUCGGUCCCAAGG